CGCGUAGGCGGGAUGGCAAGUCGGUCGUGAAAUCCUUCGGCUCAACCGAAGAACGUCGAUCGAUACUGCUGUUCUUGAGGGUUGCAGAGGAGACUGGAAUUCCCGGUGUAGCGGUGAAAUGUGUAGAGAUCGGGAGGAACACCGGUGGCGAAGGCGGGUCUCUGGGCAAUCCCUGACGCUGAGGCGCGAAAGCGUGGGGAGCAAACGGGAUUAGAUACCCCGGUAGUCCACGCUGUAAACGAUGACGACUAGGUGUGGGGGGGUUCAGUCCCCUCCGUGCCGCAGCUAACGCAUUAAGUCGUCCGCCUGGGGAGUACGGCCGCAAGGUUGA
rnacentral:rRNA from 1 species